CACGUAGUUAGCCGGCGCUUCUUCUGCAGGUACCGUCACAAAAGCUUCUUCCCUGCUGAAAGUGGUUUACAACCCGAAGGCCGUCAUCCCACACGCGGCGUCGCUGCAUCAGGCUUUCGCCCAUUGUGCAAUAUUCCCCACUGCUGCCUCCCGUAGGAGUCUGGGCCGUGUCUCAGUCCCAGUGUGGCCGGUCACCCUCUCAGGCCGGCUACCCGUCAUCGCCACGGUGAGCCAUUACCUCACCGUCUAGCUGAUAGGCCGCGAGUCCAUCCAAAACCGCUAAAGCUUUCCACCAGCACACCAUGCGGUGACUGGUCGUAUCCGGUAUUAGACCCAGUUCCCAGGCUUAUCCCAGAGUCAAGGGCAGGUUGCUCACGUGAUACUCACCCGUUCGCCACUAAUCCACCCGGUGCAAGCACCGGGCUUCAUCGUUCGACUUGCAUGUGUUAAGCACGCCGCCAGCGUUCAUCCUGACGCCAGGAUCAAAACCUCUA
rnacentral:rRNA from 1 species